GACCAUUUCACGUCUUGAUUGAAAAAAUAUACGGGUAUUAUUACUGGUAUAACAAAGGUCAAUAAAGUAUUGAGAAUAAUGAAAUUUCUGCUUUUCCUGAUUGAACACGACCGGCACGACCAGCGCGCUGGUCAGCUGAUGCCUUUGAUACUGGAGCAACAAUCAGACUGUUUGUAUGAGUAUCAACAUCAAACCAUGGAAGUUUAGCGAAACCACAAUCAAUUACUGUUGAUCUGCAUGCUCAGAUAAAAGAGAGACAGCUCGAUCCACUUCAUCCAUACCAGUAAGAAAAGCUAAAAUAUCACCAGGGUCUUCGGCUUCGUGAAUUUUUAAUGCGGUUUCCACUACUGCUUUUACAUAAUCAGUGGUUUCGUCAGUACAGUCGUCAAAUCUUAUAGAGUAACCAACAUCAGUACCAAGAAUACACCCGCGUUCAUCCGCAACUCGAUUUGCU